GGGGUUGAAUGGAUUUGACAGCGGUCAAGACCGAUCCGUAAGCAUGUAGUGUCCCAAUAGCAGACACUUAAAUAAACGCUAUCAAAAAACAAACGGCGAAGAAAAUUACGCUCUCGCAGCUUAAACCGAAUGGCAGUAGGCAAGGCUUAAUCCCAUGCAAGGCAUGAGGACGGGACAUCAUCCGAAGCCCUCUCUUCGAGGCUUAACGAUUAAGAUGGUGCAACAAUAUCGAAGAUAACAGCAAGUCAGUUCCGAACUUUCUGCGAACACAUCAGGAAACAAGACCGUGCCAUUAUCGCGCUUCCCGAUUAACACGGUACCAAAACAAAUUGGAAGAUAAACAUGUAGUUGUGAAUUGCUUCAAAAUUUUUUACAAAUGCCUGUUUAUAAGCAUGUAGAAAACGGAUUCGUCAAUCGUAUGGAUCGGGGUUCGACUCCCCGCAACUCCACUA
rnacentral:tmRNA from 1 species